rnacentral:rRNA from 1 species
AACGAACGCUGGCGGCAUGCCUAACACAUGCAAGUCGAACGGGAUCCUGGCUUCGGCCAGGUGAGAGUGGCGGACGGGUGAGUAACGCGUGGGAACCUGCCCAUUGGUCUGGGAUAACUGCGGGAAACUGCAGCUAAUACCGGAUGUACCCGAGAGGGGAAAGAUUUAUCGCCGAUGGAGGGCCCGCGUCAGAUUAGGUAGUUGGUGAGGUAACGGCUCACCAAGCCUACGAUCUGUAGCUGGUCUGAGAGGAUGAUCAGCCACACUGGGACUGAGAUACGGCCCAGACUCCUACGGGAGGCAGCAGUGGGGAAUAUUGGACAAUGGGGCGAACCCUCGAUCCAGCAAUGCCGCGUGAGUGAUGAAGGCCUUA